GGGGCAGUGGGCGGUGCUUGUCGUCAGCCUGCCCCUGAGGGUUCUCCCCACGGUGGGGACUCCGUGGGCGGCAGGCUGCCCCCCUGCCAGCGGAGCGCCCAGGGCUGGGAAAGCACACGUGUUUUAGCACUUGCCUGAUCUGGAGUGGCACAGAGGACAAAUGAGCCGCGUGGAGUGUGGAAACCCCAAAUCCUGAGUCGCUGCUGACUGUUGCCGCAGGCGUAGGACUCCAGCUGAAGGCGUUUAACACUGCUUCUGUCUGUGCGUGCAGGAAGCAAAGUGGUGGCAAAGAGAGAGAGAGAAAGAGAGAAGGAAGGAAGGAAAAAAUGGAAUCAGGCUGGGCCAGGGAAUUCCUAUGGGUGCAAGUGUGUGUGUGUGUGUGUGUGUGUGUAAGAGAGAGAGAGAGAGAAAAUUUUAGAAGUCAUGCAAGAUGUCUUUUCUCAUGUGACAUUUGACAUCUGUUUUUCUGCAGCACUGUUGUCUCCAAGUGUGUUCCAUUGCACUCCAGUUCGUGAGAUAAAUCAGCAACAAGGAAAUGUGUUUGUAGCAAAAUUCAUUUGGGAAAUCAGGUGUGUGUACCAUCAUCCCGCCCUGGAAAAUCGCCAGUGGACCGUAGCCUAUGAAAGGCUCUGACAAGUCCUGCAGUAGAGGCCUGGUUGACUGAAUGAUCGCGGAACUCAUUUCGGGUGGCUUACCCAGCCGCUGGAUGGAAUGAUGAGGCACGAGGCCAACUGCGCAGAGGGUGACCACUCCCCGAAGUGUGGACAGGGGUCGCCUCGAGAAUGGUGGCGCUUUGGGCAUGGGAAACCAACCUGUGUCCGUGCUACGUGGUCUUACGGAAGGACGUGGAAGGGGCCCGUUUGGCAGUUAAAAGGGCACUGGUUAUCGCCGGCAGAAAUGGGGUUGCCAGGAGUCUUUGGACAAUUCCUUCUGGAAAUAAUUUUGGACUGCGGCAAGAGCCCGGGGUUGUCCAGAACUCGGCAGGGGACCAAGAGGGCCGCAGGCGUGGCCUCUGUGACUAGCUGCUCCACCCAAGCGGCGGGCCAGAAGGGCGUUUAUUGGGGCUUUGGCUCCCCAUCCUGGAGACCCGCUCAUAACUGUCCCUACCUUUGCGCCUCGGGCAGAGCCCCGUUCCUCCUGGGCGGGCCAUGGAGGGAGGGACGAAGACGGCCCAUUCCUCCUGAACCCAGCCCGGGUGCGUGUGCUUAGUUCUCUCAUCUACGGAAUGGGAGGCGUAGCACCAGAAGCCCACGGUGCAGACUGCUGAGAGAACGCCAAUUUGGAAGUGCCCGGAUACCUCAAACUUACCUCCAAGAGAGUUAUUGGCACUCUGUUUGGGGGGGGGGUCUCGGUAAACCCAGACUUCCUCAGCCGCUUCGCGUGAAGAGUAUACAGGACUGUGGACUCCAGUCCCGCCUUGGGAGGGAGCGGCCCUAACACAACUUCACAAUCCCAGGAGCUUCCGGCGUGAUGUGCGACGCUGAGUGUGCAGAGAGAGGAGGCGUGGGAGGGGCCAGUU
rnacentral:lncRNA from 1 species